AGAACGAACGCUGGCGGCAGGCCUAACACAUGCAAGUCGAACGGACCCUUCGGGGUUAGUGGCGGACGGGUGAGUAACACGUGGGAACGUGCCUUUUGGUUCGGAAUAGCUCCUGGAAACGGGUGGUAAUGCCGAAUGUGCCCUUCGGGGGGAAAGAUUUAUCGCCAUUAGAGCGGCCCGCGUCUGAUUAGCUAGUUGGUGAGGUAAUGGCUCACCAAGGCGACGAUCAGUAGCUGGUCUGAGAGGAUGACCAGCCACAUUGGGACUGAGACACGGCCCAAACUCCUACGGGAGGCAGCAGUGGGGAAUCUUGCGCAAUGGGCGAAAGCCUGACGCAGCCAUGCCGCGUGAAUGAUGAAGGUCUUAGGAUUGUAAAAUUCUUUCACCGGGGACGAUAAUGACGGUACCCGGAGAAGAAGCCCGCUAACUUCGUGCCAGCAGCCGC
rnacentral:rRNA from 1 species